rnacentral:rRNA from 1 species
UACGAAGGGGGCUAGCGUUGCUCGGAAUCACUGGGCGUAAAGCGCGCGUAGGCGGCUUGCUAAGUCAGGGGUGAAAUCCUGGAGCUCAACUCCAGAACUGCCUUUGAUACUGGCGAUCUUGAGUCCGGGAGAGGUGAGUGGAACUGCGAGUGUAGAGGUGAAAUUCGUAGAUAUUCGCAAGAACACCAGUGGCGAAGGCGGCUCACUGGCCCGGUACUGACGCUGAGGUGCGAAAGCGUGGGGAGCAAACAGG